rnacentral:rRNA from 1 species
AGCGAACGCUGGCGGCAGGCUUAACACAUGCAAGUCGAGCGGACCUUUCCGGGUCUUCGGCGGUCGUGUGAGUACCGCGUGGUAACGUGCCUUUCGGUUCCGUAUCAUUCUCGGUAACUUGGGCUAAUACCGGUUACGCUCUUAUCGGGUAAGGUUUACUGCUGGAUGAUCGGCCCGCGUCUGUUUAGCCAGUUGGUGGGGUAACGGCAUACCAUGGCGUGGAUCAGUAGCUGGUCUGGGAGCAGGAUAAGCCAGACUGGGAAUGAGACACGGCCCAGAAUGCUACGGAAGGCAGGAGAGGGGAAUAUAGGACGAUGGGGGCAAGCCUGAUAAAGCCAUGCGGGGGAAGAGAUGAAGGGGGUAGGGAUGUAAAGCUCUUUUAGACGGGACGAUAAUGACGGUACCGGAGGAAGAAGCACCGGCUAACUACGUG